rnacentral:rRNA from 1 species
UACGGGGGGGGGCAAGCGUUGUUCGGAAUUACUGGGCGUAAAGGGCUCGUAGGUGGCCAACUAAGUCAGACGUGAAAUCCCUCGGCUUAACCGGGGAACUGCGUCUGAUACUGGAUGGCUUGAGUUUGGGAGAGGGACGCGGAAUUCCAGGUGUAGCGGUGAAAUGCGUAGAUAUCUGGAGGAACACCGGUGGCGAAGGCGGCGUCCUGGACCAACACUGACACUGAUGAGCGAAAGCUAGGGGAGCGAACGGG